AGUGAACGCUGGCGGUAGGCCUAACACAUGCAAGUCGAACGGCAGCACAGUAAGAGCUUGCUCUUACGGGUGGUGAGUGGCGGACGGGUGAGGAAUACAUCGGAAUCUACUUUUUCGUGGGGGAUAACGUAGGGAAACUUACGCUAAUACCGCAUACGACCUACGGGUGAAAGCAGGGGAUCUUCGGACCUUGCGCGAUUGAAUGAGCCGAUGUCGGAUUAGCUAGUUGGCGGGGUAAAGGCCCACCAAGGCGACGAUCCGUGGCUGGUCUGAGAGGAUGAUCAGCCACACUGGAACUGAGACACGGUCCAGACUCCUACGGGAGGCAGCAGUGGGGAAUAUUGGACAAUGGGCGCAAGCCUGAUCCAGCCAUACCGCGUGGGUGAAGAAGGCCUUCGGGUUGUAAAGCCCUUUUGUUGGGAAAGAAAAGCAGCAGGUUAAUACCCCGCUGUUCUGACGGUACCCAAAGAAUAAGCACCGGCUAACUUCGUG
rnacentral:rRNA from 1 species